ACCCUAAUUGUGUCCGUUCCAGGCCGCACAACACCUGGCUCCACCGUUGUGGAGGAGAUCGAGUUGCCUGUGGUUGGCUGCUUUGCAGUGCACCCUGGGGGAGGGUGGGAGAGCAGGUGAUCUCUCUCUCCUCCUCCUCCUGCUGAGGCCCCCACGGGUGAAUCCCACCCAGAAGCCAGAGGCCCCAGGAGCCUUCCAGGCAGACGGCAGGUGGAGGAAGGCAGAGAGUGGACCUGGAGGGGCAGAUGGAAGAUCUUGGCUCAUCAUAUAUCCAACGCCUAAAGAAAACCACAGGAAACGUAUCUUGCAUUGUUAUUUAACAAUCUGUUUGUGUAGAGCUUUGUUCAGAAAAUCGUUUCCCACCUGCUGUCUACAUCACAGUUGGAGAGGGUCCUGGACAGAGGUUCACAAGGACACAGUACACCAGGAGUGACGGAGUUUUACAGCUUCAGAUCUGGGUAUUUAUCCAAAAGACUUGAAACCGGGGUCCUGAGGAGAUACAAACACUUCCCAGUUCAUUACAGCACUAUUCACAGUAUCCAAGACCAAAACACAUGGUCCCCAUUGCAUGUGAAGCUCCUCCCACACCCACCUCAUAAUGCAAGUGUGACAGCAUCUAAACUGGUCAAUGCCCUGCUGGACGAGAAGAGCCUAUGUCAAAGCACUGUACCCGGCCACACAA